rnacentral:rRNA from 1 species
AACGUAGGACGCAAGCGUUAUCCGGAGUUACUGGGCGUAAAGCGCGGGCAGGCGGUCGAUUAAGUCUGAUGUGAAAUCUCCCGGCUCAACCGGGAGCAGCCAUUGGAAACUAGCCGACUGGAGUCUGACAGAGGUAGGCGGAAUUCCGGGUGGAGUGGUGAAAUGCGUAGAGAUCCGGCGGAACACCAGAGGCGAAGGCGGCCUACUGGGUCAGUACUGACGCUGAGCCGCGAAAGCCAGGGGAGCGAACGGG